rnacentral:rRNA from 1 species
CGCUGAAAGAUGGCCUCGCGUCUGAUUAGAUAGUUGGCGGGGUAACGGCCCACCAAGUGACGAUCAGUAGCCGGACUGAGAGGGUGACCGGCCACAUUGGGACUGAGAUACGGCCCAGACUCCUACGGGAGGCAGCAGUGGGGAAUAUUGGGCAAUGGGCGCAAGCCUGACCCAGCAACGCCGCGUGAAGGAAGAAGGCUUUCGGGUUGUAAACUUCUUUUAAGUGGGAAGAGUAGAAGACGGUACCACUUGAAUAAGCCACGGCUAACUACGUGCCAGCAGCCGCGGUAAUACGUAGGUGGCAAGCGUUGUCCGGAUUUACUGGGUGUAAAGGGCGUGCAGCCGGGCAUGCAAGUCAGAUGUGAAAUCUCAGGGCUUAACCCUGAAACUGCAUUUGAAACUGUAUGUCUUGAGUGCCGGAGAGGUAAUCGGAAUUCCUUGUGUAGCGGUGAAAUGCGUAGAUAUAAGGAAGAACACCAGUGGCGAAGGCGGAUUACUGGACGGUAACUGACGGUGAGGCGCGAAAGCGUGGGGAGCGAACAGGAUUAGAUACCCUGGUAGUCCACGCUGUAAACGAUGGAUACUAGGUGUGCGGGGACUGACCCCCUGCGUGCCGCAGUUAACACAAUAAGUAUCCCACCUGGGGAGUAC